AAUCUUGUGCUAUGCAAGAAAAAGAAGAGUCCAAGUGUCAAUGAUACAAUACAGAUGCUGACAUCAAAUGAGAGGCACUGAUCUGGCAGAAGUCAGUUCUCUCCGAAACAAAGGAAGGAAUGUGUGCUUGCCUUAAUUUGCAUUUAAGCAGGGAAAACAAUGGAAGGUCAAACAGGUGAG